rnacentral:rRNA from 1 species
CAGUAGCCGCGGUAAUACGAAGGGGGCUAGCGUUGUUCGGAAUUACUGGGCGUAAAGCGCACGUAGGCGGAUUGUUAAGUUAGGGGUGAAAUCCCAGGGCUCAACCCUGGAACUGCCUUUAAUACUGGCAAUCUCGAGUCCGAGAGAGGUGAGUGGAAUUCCGAGUGUAGAGGUGAAAUUCGUAGAUAUUCGGAGGAACACCAGUGGCGAAGGCGGCUCACUGGCUCGGUACUGACGCUGAGGUGCGAAAGCGUGGGGAGCAAACAGGAUUAGAUACCCCCGUAGUCCCUGUCUCUUAUAC